rnacentral:rRNA from 1 species
AUUGAACGCUGGCGGCAGGCUUAACACAUGCAAGUCGAGCGAGCGGCGGACGGGUGAGUAAUGUCUGGGAAACUGCCUGAUGGAGGGGGAUAACUACUGGAAACGGUAGCUAAUACCGCAUACCAUCAGAUGUGCCCAGAUGGGAUUAGCUCGUUGGUGGGGUAAUGGCUCACCUAGGCGACGAUCUCUAGCUGGUCUGAGAGGAUGACCAGGCACACUGGAACUGAGACACGGCGCAGACGCCUACGGGAGGCAGCAGUGGGGAAUAUGGCACAAUGGGCGCAAGCCUGAUGAAGCCAUGCCGCGUGUGUGAAGAAGGCCUUCGGGUUGUAAAGCACUUUCAGCGAGGAGGCGUUACUCUCAGAAGAAGCACCGGCUAACUCCGUGCCAGCAGCCGCGGUAAUUC